UAAGCCCUUCAGGUCCUAAGUCACUUACUCAUAUCAACAACGUCUUGUACUGGAUGCCAUGUUAUACCCAUUUUAUAAAGUGGGUAAAUGACUGGACCAAGGUCACACAACAAGCACUCAGCCAAAGCAGAUCUAUACAGAUCUAAGGGCCUAGAGCUGCAAGAACUACUUCAGGGGUGAGGAGAGCAGCGAAGUUUGGGACCCUACAAAGCAAAAGGACCUACCAACACACUGGGCACUUGGGCCAACAACACCAUUUGACCAAGCCCCUCGGAUCCAUCUGGUCGGCUUCCCUGCUGCUAAAACCCUCUCUGACAGCUGCCGGGCUGCUCUGCACUGCCCAGGUUCUUGGGCCCCCAUGCCUGGGUAGACUUGCUGCCAAGUACGCCUCAGGUUUAGGAGACCUCAGUUCCAAAUCUGUGCAGUUCCCGCGAUGUCAUCAAGCCUACAGCCAUGCCUGAUUCCCCUGAGGAUCAAGGUGCUCUCUCACCACGAUGUUUAGCGAUGCCAUCACAUGAUAACCAAGAAGUAACUAAACUUGGACAAAGCUAUACAUGGCAAUCAAACACAUUUAGCUGUAACAACAACCUUAGACCCAGUUCAUCUAGCCCAGUUCAUCUACCCCCUCAUUUGAAGGUUAAAAAGACAGGAUCAGAGAGGGGAACUGAUGGUCAGCUGCAACACAGGGGAUCAAUUAUCUACAGAGGUAAUAAUUUCUCUGGACCAGUGCAGGGAUGGAGAGGUGCUAGGUGUGGCCCUGCUUGGAAAGAAGAGCAGGACUGGAAAGUGAACACCAGGGCUCCCCCAGGGCAGGAAAUGGAAGGGGUAUUUGGUUAAUAGUGGGCAUCUCUGUCUCCUUUAAGGUGUUAAUGGAAUAUGUGUCUGAAGAGAUAAUGUGCAGGUUCUGGAAACAUUCAGUCCAUGUCACUGCCUCCAGCCCUCUCUGGGCUCUGCAACAAACCUGGUUCCAUCCUCUUUCCCUUGUACUCAAUUCAGCUAACACGGGCCGAUGCAAUGUCACCGGUGUCCGCCUCAACAAAGGCAAACCAGGUCUAGGUUCCUCAACUCCGCAACAUUCACAUUUGGGAGAGAAAAUGUACUCCUCUCAGCAACCCCAGUUUCCUGCUGGUCCCUAGACCAGUGCUGGGCUCCCCGGGAGGCGAGGUGGGGAGAAGGGCAGGUCAGCCAAAGGGCACCCUUGUGCUUCUGGCCUUUUUGUCAUAAGGGCCUCAGGUCUGAGGUGGUGGCCAUGCUGGUCUCCUGGGUUGGAGGACAGAGAAGGAAACUGAAGCCUCACAUGACAGAGGAUCCAGCUCACGCUGCAGCUUGCGCUGAAGAGCUAAAUGACACGUAAUUCAGUUAAAGGAGAAGGAAGCAAACCUCAUCACAACAGUUGAAAACAUGAAAACAACAAAUAAACAGCUGCUU